CACUUUAAAUGACUCAGGAAGUAAAAGGAGGCCUCCUGACGGGGAAAGGGAAAGUGGAACCGGGGCGGCGCGGGGGACAGCGGCAGCAGCAAUCUCGCCCGAGUAGCGGGAGGCUGAGCGGGCGGCGCCACGCGGGGGCCGACGGGGGCGCCGGGUGCCCGCGCCGGAAGUGCCCUGCGCGGCAGAGGAAGCUCAGGGACAGAGCGGAGCAGGCCGAGCCAGCGGAAGGCUCUUUGCUGCUCCGCCCGGGCAGGGGCUGCCCCGGCCCCAGGUCCCGCUUCCAGACGCGGCGCGGUCCAGGCGGGCGGCGACUCCCGAGGAAGGGACCCGGGGCGGGAGAAGGAAGUGAGGAGGCCGCGCAGACGGAGGGCGGGGAGCCCUGAGGCCCCGAGGCCUUACCGCGUCACAGCAACCACAUGGCCUCCGGAGUGGGCGCGGCCUUCGAGGAGCUGCCUCACGACGGCACGUGUGACGAGUGCGAGCCCGACGAGGCUCCGGGGGCCGAGGAAGUGUGCCGAGAAUGCGGCUUCUGCUACUGCCGUCGCCACGCUGAGGCGCACAGGCAGAAGUUCCUCAGUCACCACCUGGCCGAAUACGUCCACGGCGCCCAGGCCUGGACCCCGCCAGCUGACGGAGAGGGGGCGGGGAAGGAAGAAGCGGAGGUCAAGGUGGAGCAGGAGAGGGAGAUAGAAAGCGAGGCAGGGGAAGAAAGUGAGUCGGAGGAAGAGAGCGAGUCAGAGGAAGAGAGUGAGACAGAGGAAGAGAGUGAGGAUGAGAGCGAUGAGGAGAGUGAAGAAGACAGCGAGGAAGAAAUGGAGGAUGAGCAAGAAAGCGAGGCCGAAGAAGACAACCAAGAAGAAGGGGAAUCCGAGGCGGAGGGAGAAACUGAGGCAGAAAGUGAAUUUGACCCAGAAAUAGAAAUGGAAGCAGAGAGAGUGGCCAAGAGGAAGUGUCCGGACCAUGGGCUCGAUUUGAGCACCUAUUGCCAGGAAGAUAGGCAGCUCAUCUGUGUCCUGUGUCCAGUCAUUGGGGCUCAUCAGGGCCACCAACUCUCCACCCUAGACGAAGCCUUUGAAGAAUUAAGAAGCAAAGACUCAGGUGGACUGAAGGCGGCUAUGAUCGAAUUGGUGGAAAGGUUGAAGUUCAAGAGCUCAGACCCUAAAGUAACUCGGGACCAAAUGAAGAUGUUUAUACAGCAGGAAUUUAAGAAAGUUCAGAAAGUGAUUGCCGAUGAGGAGCAGAAGGCCCUUCAUCUAGUGGACAUCCAGGAGGCAAUGGCCACAGCUCAUGUGACUGAGAUACUGGCAGACAUCCAAUCCCACAUGGAUAGGUUGAUGACCCAGAUGGCCCAAGCCAAGGAACAACUUGAUACCUCUAAUGAAUCAGCUGAGCCAAAGGCAGAGGGCGAUGAGGAAGGACCCAGAUUUCUAUGGAAGGAAACUGCUUGAGAGAGAUUUGGUUUCCAUUAUACACAUGCCAAGAGAAGAUGAGGAAACUGGGUCAGGUGGAUUUCCUGAAGUGGUGCCAGUGAAGAAGAGGACACAUGAAGGCUUGCUACCCCCAGUGGAAAAUCAUCCCCUCCCCUUGUGUGUAUGUGACAGUGUGUAUGUAACGGCUUCUGAUUUCUGUGAAAGCUGCUCAGCAACAAACGUACUUCCACCAGAUGUGUCCCCAGAUCCACAGCAGGCACAUAUCUCUCCAAGGGAUGACCAGUUUUAUGCUUACUGACUGUGUGCUUCUCAUCCUCUGGUUGUGGUAGGUCAAGGAAAAGAGCCCAUUUGAUCCACCAGGAGCAAUUAAGAAGGGUCCUUCAGGUAAUCCCUCAGUGGCUGCUUUGAACUUACUCAGGAAAGUCAGCCCCCAUAAUAUUGUGUUACCAAACAGUAUGGCUUUGUUAGGAAGGAUCUGGAAUAAUCUUGAAGGGAAGUCAGAGUUUUCUCCCUGCCUAUUAACAGAAACCCAAUUUUGUUCAUAUUGAAGCAUGAAAUAAAUGAGAGCAAGGUAGGGCCACAUUGACUCAUGUGGGCAGUCCCUAAAAGUCCAGUUCUGCAUUUGUGAAAAUGUGGUGCCAUGAAUUAAGGUGGAUGAGUGGAAAAAGGUGUUAAAGAGUUAAAGAUUAGGAAGAGAUAUUUUUAGUAUAUGAAGUUAUCCAGGACUUGAGAUUCAUAAUUCAGUGCUGUGGAAAUGAAAAAAAAUGAUUGAAGAGGUGGAACGGAAAUGACCUUAGGGGGAAAAAAAAGGACCAAAGAAAUCUGAUUAAAAGUUGAAAUCAGUAAUUCUGAAUUCAAAUUGCUUGAAUUUCCAAAAUAGUCAGUAAAGGAUCUAAUAGAACCACAAUUAUUUGGGUGAAUUCUGCAGGUUUUAUGGGCUUGUCACAACAUGAAGGGCUGGAAUGUAUAUUACCAAACGGGAAUUUUCAUUGUAGGUUUUUGCUAGUCCUACCCCCAUUUUAGCUUAAUUUGUCUUAAAUGCAAUAUGGGGAGAAUUGAUGCCACUCCAUGUGUUCUGAAUUCAGCUCAUCUCCCAGCAUAUAGAUAUAACCUCCUUUACCUCAGACCAGAACCCUUCUUCCUGUGGCACUCCCCACCCACAGACCUUCAGAUCAUCUCCCACACCCUGGAUCUCGCUCUCCUCUUAGUGACAGAGACAUGCCUGAGGUUGGACUUGCUUUUCUCUACUUCCAAAUCACAAUUUCUUACAACCAAGCUUUGUACUCCCGAGUAAGCAGGGAUGUGCUAGGGGAAUGUAAAACUGCAAACUUAAAAACCUGCAUCUUCUUGAAGCAUCAGUUUUACUUACCAAAUGGUUUGGAGUCAGGAGAUGACCUAUUUUUAUAUAAAAGUUAUAUUAUAGAAUAAAAUGUUCAUACACAUAGACUGUUAAGAUAAAAAAUAGGAAUCUUGAAAGGUAAUUAUUUGCAAGUGGGUUAUAUGUUCACUCUCCUCUGCCUUUAUGGUAUUUUGGUGUUCACUUAUGAAGAAUACAACUGGAACCAUAUCCAAGCAGACUCUGGGUUGCUGCUAACCCAGGGGCUAGACUUCUAGUGCCUCUGAGGCAGAACUAAAGGAGCCUGCACCGGGGGAAAUCCCUUUUCCUGCCUGCCUAUGACCUGUGUACCUAUUAUAGGGCCAGCUGAUUAUUGUGCUUGCAGGAUGGUUUUGAAACAGAAACAAUACUUGUUUACUAUAAGAGUCCUAUUUAUAUUAUUUUUCAGUCCUGUGAAUGCUGUGAAAUGAUUUAUUCCUUUGAGGCCAGGAAGCUCCCAGGCAUAUAUGCUUCUAGGUUAGGAUUGUCCUAACUCACUAAAGAUGCCAGGAUAUUGGGGCUGAGAGGAGUUUGAGAUGUUAAAAAAAAAAAAGCAUUUUUCUGUCAAACUGGUGGCCAAGAAAUGGCUAAGACAAUUUUGGUGCUUUAGCUGUCUCUGCAAAGACUGGAGAAUUUGGCAUACCAUUAAUUACAACCUCCAAUCAUAUCCAACAAAACUACCCUAAAAGAAGGACCAGUGGCCACUCUUGAAAAAGUUUAAGUAUCAGAAGAUUAAAAAGAUUUUAGGAUUUGGAAGCUUGUAUUGUCUUUCCCCAAUAAUCAUUGUUUGAUCUCCAAAUAGUAGCCUUAUAUUAGCAAUGGACAGAUCAUUGGUUCUCCAUAUCUGAUCAUAUGUUAUUACUUUGAAUCAGUAUUUGGGAAAUUCAAGUAUUUAUGCAGUGGAUAUAAAUAGAAAUAUAAAAAUGUGUGCCAAUCUGUCUCAGUAACUUAUCUCUGAUCCUCAAGGAAAGCACUUUUGCUGUUACUUAGAAAGGGUUUCAGAGUUGCUUUACAGACUCCUGCUGUCUUCAGCACCUGAUAAAACUUUAACCAGGGAAGCAUUAAACACAGUGCAGCAGCUUUUGCCCAGGCUCCUAAGUUCCUGCCGGCAGCAUUUAUCAAUGUAAGAAACUAGGAUGCUUCCUGCAGUGGCACCACCUUCCCAUAGAGCUGGAGCAUGCUGCUUGGCCUUAAGCCCCAGCAUGAUGAGGCUUCCCUCCUGCCACGUCAGUAAAACUUAGAAAGCUCAGAAUUGUGUCUUGCCUGGCUGCAGGUUGCAGGGUUUGCUGAAACCCCUAAAGAGAAGUCACCAAGGGAGGCAGGUAAUGAAUGUUUCCAGAAUCAGUCAGAUACUCAUAGCAAUUUCUGGCUACCUUUCAAAUGUUGAAUUUCUGGAUGCCGAGAGGGACUUUGAUUUGAUAUCAUUAAAUCCAGGACAGUCCCAAGAAGUGCUUGGAGUCUCCGCUCUGACAGCCCAAGAAGGGAAAUAACUUGUAUUAAGGCACAACUAUGAGCCAGGCCCUGAACUGUCUCUUAGAUAAUAAAACAGAUGGGGAAUGGAAGUCAUUUGCUUCAAGUUACACAGCUAGGAAAUACUCAAGCCAAAUCUUGAACCCAGCUCCCCCUAAUUCUGUGGACAAGCACUUUGUACCACACACUGUGGUCCACCUAAAAACAGAAGGAUAAAAAGGCUUCAGGUUUUCCCACUGUGCGCUGACCAUCCCAAUUUAUGAAUCUUUUUCAAAAUGACAGUUAUAGUUAGGGCUCAGAAAUGGCAUUGAGGUAGCCUUAUUUCUCCCCUUUAGCCGAUGCUUUAAGUACACAUUGCUGACUUGAGCCCACCCCCAGGAGUUGGGAGAACAUUUCCCUUUUCAUGCCGUCUUCCAUAAAUAAAGUGUUUCUUGGCCUUCAAAGGUAUAGAACUUUGCAGCAGUAGUAAAAGUGAAGGGUGUUCUGCUUUCUACUCAACUUUAUUUGCAACUCUCUGCAGCUUCACUGCUGUAGAAAAGGAAAUCUUCAUAUUUUAGUAAACUUAGCGGCCAGUGUGCUCUGUGAGGAUGUGGCAAUUCAAAGUCCAGUGAAUCUGGACUCUCCUACUGAUUCCUGGUUUGCGUGUGUUGGGUUAGUGUGUACCUAUAUAUAAAUGACAAGUGUGAUAUGUGUGUAUAUGUAUAUACGUACAUGUCCACACACACACACAAUAUUUGAGAACAAAGGAAAACUCAAAGCAGCCCCUUCAUUAUCUUGCAUACUACUUCAAAGAUUUCUGUCAGCCCUAAUUACAAGUGUCACCAUAUAGUUGGGGCUUAGGUACUUGCUUACUUGCUUACAAGAAGAGCAAUUCCCUAGCAAAAGUUGUUAGCUCCUAAGGCACUGAGUCAAAGUGACAGCCCUGAAGGAAAUUGCACUCCAGCCCUCCUCCAAGAUGUCUAAUAACAUGGGAAACUUGGAUGCCCAGCCAUUUUGGUGACCUGAGAGUCUAACUACUCCAGUUAGACCUGAGGGCACAAAUGCAGAAUUCAUGACCUUGUAGUAGUGGCAGGGUCUAGGAAGUCCUCUCUCCCCAAGUAGAAAAUGCUCCCUUGCCAUUCUUGAAAUUCCACAUUCAUUAUAUGUAUUGGCUGUUCCAUACAUGCUUCUCAAUAAGAAAAUUAACUGCAUGUUUACUGUGUGCUGAUCACAUCAGAUUUUUAUGUUUAAAAAAAUCUCAUUAUGGACUGAGUCCAGCCCAGCCCUAGGAGAAAAAGAAGGCCCAUAGGGGAGACUUCAAUCUCAUUAUUAUUGCCUUUAUCCAACAGGGCUUAUGAAACCCCCUACCCUGUCCCAUUCCAGAAACCAUAAGACUCAGGCAGUUCUUGAAUCUGGAGGCCUGCCUGGUAAGAUAAGAUAGUAUCAUUUGGAACUGAGAACAUACCAGAAACAGCAGAACAAGGUCCAGAGCAGAAAAAUGAAAAUAAGUGAAGACACUUAUGGAUACAUUGGUGCAGAAAAAGCCACGGAGCCCAUACUAGGCUUGAUAUGACUUUGAGGGGACAGCAGAUUAAUACUCAAUGAGGAUUAAACCUGACCGGUCUUUCUACAGUGACAGGCCACACUGCAUGAAUGGGGAGAACCAAUGAAUCCAUUGUCCUCUGCCUAUUUUCCUGUGCACAGUCACAUUCCUUCCUUAGGAAUCUUCCCCUUCCACCCUUUACAUUAAACAAGGGAACACUGAAUCUUUCAACAGAAUUACACGUUUGAGUUAAUGUUUCAGUAUAUCAUUUUCAUACUGUAAAUUAUUUUGUAAGAGAGAUUUACUGCUAUCCCAGGAUGUUCGGACUUGGCGCCCCUGUGCAUUUGGAAAUCAAUAAACUAUUACUGGAAAUGCCA